rnacentral:rRNA from 1 species
GACGUAGGGUGCAAGCGUUGUCCGGAUUUAUUGGGCGUAAAGAGCUCGUAGGCGGCUUGUUGCGUCGACCGUGAAAACCUACCGCUUAACGGUGGGCUUGCGGUCGAUACGGGCAGGCUAGAGUUCGGUAGGGGAGACUGGAAUUCCUGGUGUAGCGGUGGAAUGCGCAGAUAUCAGGAGGAACACCGGUGGCGAAGGCGGGUCUCUGGGCCGAUACUG